CGCUGGCGGCGUGCUUAACACAUGCAAGUCGAGCGAGAAAGCUCCUUCGGGAGUGAGUACAGCGGCGAACGGGUGAGUAACACGUGGGCAACCUGCCCUAGGGAGCGGGACAACCCGAGGAAACUCGGGCUAAUACCGCAUGAUUCGCCGAGCCUCAAGGCCCGGCGGGAAAUGGUAGCUUCGGCCUCCGCCCUAGGAUGGGCCCGCGGCGCAUUAGCUUGUUGGUGAGGUAACGGCUCACCAAGGCGACGAUGCGUAGCUGGUCUGAGAGGACGAUCAGCCACACUGGGACUGAGACACGGCCCAGACUCCUACGGGAGGCAGCAGUGGGGAAUCUUGCGCAAUGGGCGGAAGCCUGACGCAGCAACGCCGCGUGUGGGAAGACGGCCUUCGGGUUGUAAACCACUUUCAGGGGGGACGAAGCUUCCGAGGUUAAUAGCCUACGGGGUGACGGUACCCCCCAGAAGAAGCCCCGGCUAACUACGUGCCAGCAGCCGCGGUAAUACGUAGGGGGCGAGCGUUGUCCGGAAUCAUUGGGCGUAAAGCGCGUGUAGGCGGCUCGAUAAGUCUGGUGUGAAAUCUUGGGGCUCAACCCCAAGCCUGCACUGGAUACUGUCGAGCUUGAGUCCGGGAGGGGAGAGCGGAAUUCCUAGUGUAGCGGUGAAAUGCGCAGAUAUUAGGAAGAACACCGGUGGCGAAGGCGGCUCUCUGGAACGGUACUGACGCUGAGACGCGAAAGCGUGGGGA
rnacentral:rRNA from 1 species